rnacentral:rRNA from 1 species
CCUACGGGGGGCAGCAGUGAGGAAUAUUGGUCAAUGGACGCAAGUCUGAACCAGCCAUGCCGCGUGCAGGAAGACGGCUCUAUGAGUUGUAAACUUCUUUUGUACGAGGGUAAACGCAGGUACGCGUACCUGUCUGAAAGUAUCGGACGAAUAAGGAUCGGCUAACUCCGUGCCAGCAGCCGCGGUAAUACGGAGGAUGCGAGCGUUAUCCGGAUUUAUUGGGUUUAAAGGGUGCGUAGGCGGACUGUUAAGUCAGCGGUAAAAGCCCGGGGCUCAACCCCGGCGAGCCGUUGAAACUGGCUGUCUUGAGAUGGCGAGAGGUAUGCGGAAUGCGCAGUGUAGCGGUGAAAUGCUUAGAUAUGGCGCAGAACUCCGAUUGCGAAGGCAGCAUACCGGCGGCGCUCUGACGCUGAGGCACGAAAGCGUGGGUAUCGAACAGGAUUAGAUACCCUUGUAGUC